rnacentral:rRNA from 1 species
GACGAACGCUGACGGUGUGCUUUAGACAUGCAAGUCGAACGAGAAAGCCCUUCGGGGUGAGUACAGUGGCGAACGGGUGAGUAACACGUGGGCAAUCUGCCCCUCGAAGGGGGAUAACCGGGGGAAACCCCGGCUAAUACCCCGUACGCUUGCGGAGCCGCAUGGCUCUGCAAGGAGAGGUAGCUUCGGCCAAUCCGGCGAGGGAUGAGCCCGCGGUACAUUAGCUAGUUGGUGAGGUAACGGCNCAACCAAGCGACGAUGUAUAGCUGGUCUGAGAGGAUGAUCAGCCACACUGGGACUGAGACACGG